GGAGCAGCCCAGAGCCUGAAUCAGUGUGUGUGUUAGUGGAAGCGUCUGGAAAGGCGUGCGAUACAGGGUGACAGCCCCGUACACAAAAAUGCACAUACUGUGAGCUCGAUGAGUAGGGCGGGACACGUGGUAUCCUGUCUGAAUAUGGGGGGACCAUCCUCCAAGGCUAAAUACUCCUGACUGACCGAUAGUGAACCAGUACCGUGAGGGAAAGGCGAAAAGAACCCCGGCGAGGGGAGUGAAAAAGAACCUGAAACCGUGUACGUACAAGCAGUGGGAGCACGCUUAGGCGUGUGACUGCGUACCUUUUGUAUAAUGGGUCAGCGACUUAUAUUCUGUAGCAAGGUUAACCGAAUAGGGGAGCCGAAGGGAAACCGAGUCUUAACUGGGCGUUAAGUUGCAGGGUAUAGACCCGAAACCCGGUGAUCUAGCCAUGGGCAGGUUGAAGGUUGGGUAACACUAACUGGAGGACCGAACCGACUAAUGUUGAAAAAUUAGCGGAUGACUUGUGGCUGG
rnacentral:rRNA from 1 species